rnacentral:misc_RNA from 1 species
GGCGGGUGGAAUUAUAGGCGGUACCACAUCACCUCUCGGCACAAACCGACAAAAUAGGUUACAAAAAUUUACCUUAAUAAAAAAAAUAACUCAAAAUUCCGUAGUCUACUGCUUCUCUCCCAGCACGGACGUCAAUCCACUCGCCACCGCCUGCGUCGCCGACUUCGGCUUCACCGCCGGCGGUUGCCACGUAGAAACCAAAACUGUUACACUCUCAGCGGUGGAGGCGUCGGACAUCAACAUCUCGAGCUCGCCUGCCGACGCACUGUCGCAGUUAUCUAUUCUAGAUUUACUUUCUUCCAAUCGAUCUUCUUC